CACUAAGAAGCUUUGAACUAGCACUAGCCUUUUAAGCUAGGGAAGGGGAAACAAUUCCCCCUCAGUGA
rnacentral:tRNA from 1 species